ACUCCUACGGGAGGCAGCAGUAGGGAAUCUUCCACAAUGGGCGCAAGCCUGAUGGAGCAACACCGCGUGAGUGAAGAAGGGUUUCGGCUCGUAAAGCUCUGUUGUUAAAGAAGAACACGUAUGAGAGUAACUGUUCAUACGUUGACGGUAUUUAACCAGAAAGUCACGGCUAACUACGUGCCAGCAGCCGCGGUAAUACGUAGGUGGCAAGCGUUAUCCGGAUUUAUUGGGCGUAAAGAGAGUGCAGGCGGUUUUCUAAGUCUGAUGUGAAAGCCUUCGGCUUAACCGGAGAAGUGCAUCGGAAACUGGAUAACUUGAGUGCAGAAGAGGUAGUGGAACUCCAUGUGUAGCGGUGGAAUGCGUAGAUAUAUAGGAAGAACACCAGUGGCGAAGGCGGCUACCUGGUCUGCAACUGACGCUGAGACUCGAAAGCAUGGGUAGCGAACAGGAUUAGAUACCCCUGGUAGGAUAGCG
rnacentral:rRNA from 1 species